GACGUAGGGCGCGAGCGUUGUCCGGAUUUAUUGGGCGUAAAGAGCUCGUAGGCGGCUUGUCGCGUCGACUGUGAAAACCCGCGGCUCAACUGCGGGCCUGCAGCCGAUACGGGCAGGCUAGAGUUCGGUAGGGGAGACUGGAAUUCCUGGUGUAGCGGUGAAAUGCGCAGAUAUCAGGAGGAACACCGAUGGCGAAGGCAGGUCUCUGGGCCACUACUGACGCCGAGAAGCGAAAGCAUGGGGAGCGAACAGG
rnacentral:rRNA from 1 species